GAUGAACGCUAGCGGCAGGCCUAAUACAUGCAAGUCGAACGGGAUCCAGAUCAAAGCUUGCUUUGGUCUGGUGAGAGUGGCGCACGGGUGCGUAACGCGUGAGCAACCUACCCUUGUCAGGGGGAUAGCCCGGCGAAAGUCGGAUUAAUACCGCAUGACAUCAUUGAGAGGCAUCUUUCGAUGAUCAAAGAUUUAUCGGACAAGGAUGGGCUCGCGUGACAUUAGCUAGUUGGUAAGGUAACGGCUUACCAAGGCUGCGAUGUCUAGGGGCUCUGAGAGGAGAAUCCCCCACACUGGUACUGAGACACGGACCAGACUCCUACGGGAGGCAGCAGUAAGGAAUAUUGGUCAAUGGACGGAAGUCUGAACCAGCCAUGCCGCGUGCAGGAAGACGGCCCUAUGGGUUGUAAACUGCUUUUAUACGGGAACAAACGUCGGUACGUGUACCGGUCUGAGUGUACCGUAAGAAUAAGGAGCGGCUAACUCCGUG
rnacentral:rRNA from 1 species